GCCGGACACAGUGGUGUGUGUCUGUAGUCCCAGCUACCCAAGAGGCUGAGGCAGAAAGCUCGCUUGAGCCCAGAAGUUCUGGGCUGUAGUAUCCUAUGCUGAUUGGGUGUCUGCACUAAAUUAGGAAUCAACAUGGUGACCUCCUGGAAGUGAGGGACCACCAGGUUGCCUAAUGAGGAGAGAACUGGCCCAGGUCAGAAACAGAGCAGGUCAAAACUCCCAUGCUUAUCAGGAGUAGCACUGAGUCUGUGAAUAGCCACCGCACUCCAACUUGGGCAACAAAGUGAGACCCCUGUUUCU
ensembl:misc_RNA Metazoa_SRP Metazoan signal recognition particle RNA